rnacentral:rRNA from 1 species
AUUGAACGCUGGCGGAAUGCUUUACACAUGCAAGUCGAACGGCAGCACGGGGGCCACCCUGGUGGCGAGUGGCGAACGGGUGAGUAAUACAUCGGAACGUGCCCAGUCGUGGGGGAUAACGUAGCGAAAGUUACGCUAAUACCGCAUACGAUCUACGGAUGAAAGCGGGGGACCGUAAGGCCUCGCGCGAUUGGAGCGGCCGAUGUCAGAUUAGGUAGUUGGUGAGGUAAAGGCUCACCAAGCCGACGAUCUGUAGCUGGUCUGUGAGAGCGACCAGCAACACUGGGACUGGGACACGGCCCAGACUCCUACGGGAGGCAGCAGUGGGGAAUUUUGGACAAGGGGCGCAAGCCUGUUCCAGCCAUUCCGCGUGCAGGACGAAGGCCUUCGGGUUGUAAACUGCUUUUGUACGGAACGAAAAGGCUCUGGUUAAUACCUGGGGCUCAUGACGGUACCGUAAGAAUAAGCACCGGCUAACUACGUGCCAGCCGCCGCUGUAA